rnacentral:snRNA from 1 species
GAACUUGGCUGAUCUGGCUGGUUAGGCGGGUGUCCCCUUCCUUCCUCACCACUCCAUGUGCAUCCCUCCUGAAGCUGCACACUCAGUCGAAGAGGAUGACCACCCCUGAUAGAGGAGGACCAUUUCCUUGGUCAAAGGUAUAUGAGCAGCUUUGCUCCCCUGCUAGAACCUCCAAACAAGCUCUCAAAGAAGAAUAACAUAAGACUGACUGGAGUCAAUGAAGAAACAGGAGAAAGUGCAGAUGACAUAAAAAAUCUUGUCACAGAAAUGAUGGCAGAAAACUUCCCAAGCAGGGGAAAAGAGCCUGACAUACAGAUA